AAAACGACUCUCGGCAACGGAUAUCUCGGCUCUCGCAUCGAUGAAGAACGUAGCGAAAUGCGAUACUUGGUGUGAAUUGCAGAAUCCCGUGAACCAUCGAGUCUUUGAACGCAAGUUGCGCCCGAAGCCAUCCGGCCAAGGGCACGCCUGCCUGGGCGUCACGCA
rnacentral:rRNA from 1 species